CUAGACUAUUUACAUUGCAUUGGUGGUGGUUGUUAAUGAGGGAAAAAUCUAUUGUCUUCCAUUCAUGAAGAUGUUGUAUAUGGUGGGGAACUGUGUUUGUUUCCCCAUCAGUUGUUGCUUGAUGGAGGAAUGCAUGAUGCUGGUUAGAGCUGGUAUUGUGGUCAUUGGCGGGUGUAGUGGUGUAGUGUUGCUGGGUGGAGGUGGUACUCGUAAUGGUGGUUUGGAGGUGGGAGGUGAUGGUUCCCUGUGUUGUUGGCGAUGUGGCCAUUUCUGAGAGACCUGCUUGUUUUCAGGUUUUGCGGGAUGUGAAGUGGUUGCUGUGGAUUUGGGGCGCUUUGGUUGAUGUUUGGUGUUUGACUUAGGUGUUGUUUUGCGUUUGGAUGGUGGUCUGUGAUUGCUUGCGAUAUGGAUGAUAGUGCUAGACAACUCCUGUGGGAGAUUGUCGUUUAGUUUUGUGGAAAGUGAUGAGAUUUGCCCAUCAAUUUUGGAUGAUUCCUCUGAGUGGUGUUGGUGCAGGAUGUCUGUGAGGUGGGACAUGCAGUUCUGGAUGCCAGUGUCUCAUGCUUCCUUGAGCUUUGGUGACAGUUGGACCCAGGGUUGAAUGCUGAUGUUGAGGCCAGCCGGUGCAGUGUGGUUUGUGAUGUGUUUGUUGAGAAUGGUCAACUGUCGUUGAUGGUCAUUCUUGUGGUGAUGGAGUUCAACAAGUUUAUUGAACAUGGUGGUUGUGUUAUUGGAAGUGAUAGGUGGUUGAGGUGUGGUGGUGGUGAUUUGGUGUGUUAGGGGGGUUUGUGGUAUGAUUGGUUGGGAUGUGGUUGGGAUAUUGCUGGGUUGGCCCAUGUCGGCUGGCAAUGUUAGGGUGGAGGUGGUUUGGGCUGAGGUUGGGAUGGCAUUUGGGGACUGGAUUGGGGUACUUGUAGGCUGGAUCUGGGUGGAGGUUGUGGUUGUGUCCAUUGUGCCGGGACUUUGGGAUAUGUUGGUUGGUGUGUCAACAGGUGGGGUGAAUUGUGGGAGAGUGGAAGUCGAAAUUGGGUUGGUUGAUAUGGUGGAUGGUGAGUCGGAUGGUGUGUUGGUGAAUAGGUUGUUCUCAAAUUCUGGGUCUGAUAGAAUGAGCAAACGUUGUAGCCCCUCUAAUUCAAAUUGAAAUUGAGUAUGACUUUGGUCAGUGUCCAUUUUGCAAUUUGUCUGGAUGGAAGUCUUCUAAUAUCCUGAUAAAUGGAAUUGGGUUACAAUAUGAAUGAAUGUGUUGCAGUGUUUUGCCUGGACAUGGACCUCAUAUAAGUCUUUGUAAGGUUGGAUAUAGAACAGGUUUGUUGAUAUGGAAAAGUGAUUAUGAAUCUGUUAAUAUGUUUAUUAUUCGAUUCAUUGUUCAACCCAUGUGGCCAUUAUUUAUUAAUUUACCAGGAGAUCUCUUGAUACUUAACUUUUUCCUGCCAAUACAUAGCAAUUUGUUGUUUGUUUUUUAGAAUUGGAUCAAAAAG